GACGAACCGAGCGAACGUUAUUCGGAAUCACUGGGCUUAAAGGGCGCGUAGGCGGGCCGUCAAGUCAGGGGUGAAAGCCCCCAGCUCAACUGGGGAAGUGCCCCUGAUACUGGCGGCCUCGAGCGAGGUAGGGGCGUGCGGAACUUCCGGUGGAGCGGUGAAAUGCGUAGAUAUCGGAAGGAACACCGGUGGCGAAAGCGGCGCGCUGGACCUCUUCUGACGCUGAGGCGCGAAAGCCAGGGGAGCGAACGGG
rnacentral:rRNA from 1 species